CACGUAAGGCGCAAGCGUUGUCCGGAAUUAUUGGGCGUAAAGAGCUCGUAGGCGGUCUGUUGCGUCCGCUGUGAAAACUCGGGGCUUAACCCCGAGCCUGCAGUGGAUACGGGCAGACUAGAGGUAGGUAGGGGAGAAUGGAAUUCCCGGUGUAGCGGUGAAAUGCGCAGAUAUCGGGAAGAACACCGGUGGCGAAGGCGGCGACCUGGUCCUUGACUGACGCUGAGGCGCGAAAGCGUGGGGAGCAAACAGG
rnacentral:rRNA from 1 species